UCGUAGUUAAGCGGUAACAACACAUGCCUCUCACUCCUGAGACCCGGGUUCGAUCCUCGGUGGAGGAG